UACAGGGGUGCAAACGUUGCUCGGAAUCAUUGGGCGUAAAGCGCACGUAGGCGGUCUGUUAUGUCGGAUGUGAAGCCUUGGCUCAACUGAGGAAGUGCAUCCGAACUGGCAGGCUAGAGUACUAAAGAGGAUCGCGGAAUUCCGGUGUAGAGGUGAAAUUCGUAGAUAUCGGAGGAACACCGGUGGCGAAGCGCCUCUGACGUGACUGACGCUGAGACGCGAAGCGUGGAGCAACAG
rnacentral:rRNA from 1 species